rnacentral:rRNA from 1 species
GACGAACGCUGGCGGCGUGCUUAACACAUGCAAGUCGAACGGAAAGGCCCUGCUUUUGUGGGGUGCUCGAGUGGCGAACGGGUGAGUAACACGUGAGUAACCUGCCCUUGACUUUGGGAUAACUUCAGGAAACUGGGGCUAAUACCGGAUAGGAGCUCCUGCUGCAUGGUGGGGGUUGGAUAGUUUCGGCGGUUGGGGAUGGACUCGCGGCUUAUCAGCUUGUUGGUGGGGUAGUGGCUUACCAAGGCUUUGACGGGUAGCCGGCCUGAGAGGGUGACCGGCCAAAUUGGGACUGAGAUACGGCCCAGACUCCUACGGGAGGCAGCAGUGGGGAAUAUUGCACAAUGGGCGGAAGCCUGAUGCAGCAACGCCGCGUGCGGGAUGACGGCCUUCGGGUUGUAAACCGCUUUCGCCUGUGACGAAGCGUGAGUGACGGUAAUGGGUAAAGAAGCACCGGCUAACUACGUG